GAGUCCCUUCGGGGAUGAUGAUUGGUGACGGAGCGGCGGACGGGUGAGUAACGCGUGGCUAACCUACCCUCUUGACGGGGACAACCACCCGAACAUGCGGCUAAUACCCGAUAUUGUCUGGAACCGAUGGGUUCCUUUCCAAAGGCGGUCAUGCCGCCGCAAGGGGAUGGGGCUGCGUCCUAUUAGCUAGUUGGUGAGGUAACGGCCCACCAAGGCUUCGAUGGGUAGCUGGUCUGAGAGGACGACCAGCCACAUUGGGACUGAGAUACGGCCCAGACUCCUACGGGAGGCAGCAGUGGGGAAUCUUGGCCAAUGGACGAAAGUUUGAGCCAGCGACACCGCGUGGGGGAUGAAGGCCUUCGGGUUGUAAACCUCUUUUCUGGGGAAAGAAUAAGGACGGGAGGAAAUGCCCGCCCGAUGACGGUACUCCAGGAAUAAGCAUCGGCUAACUCUGUGCCAGCAGCCGCGGUAAGACAGAGGAUGCAAGCGUUAUCCGGAAUUACUGGGCGUAAAGGGCGUCUAGGCGGUUCGGUAAGUCGUUUGUGAAAUCCCUCGGCUCAACCGAGGAAGGUCUUGCGAUACUGCCGGGCUUGGGUGCAGGAGAGGAGGGUGGAACUCACAGAGUAGCGGGGAAUGCGUAGAUACUGUGAGGUACCCCGAUGGCGAAGGCAACCCUCUGGCCUGCUACCGACGCUGAAGCGCGAAAGCGUGGGGAGCAAAGGGGGUUAGAUACCCCCGUAGUCCACGCCCUAAACAAUGUUCACUUGGUGUCGGCCGCUCAUACUGGUCGGUGCCGAAGCUAACGCGUUAAGUGAACCGCCUGAGGAGUACGGCCGCAAGGCUAAAACUCAAGAGAAUUGACGGGUCCCUGCACAAGCGGUGGAGCACGUGGUUUAAUUCGACGAUAAACGAAAAACCUCACCCAGGCUUGACAUACUAGUGGUAGGAACCUGAAAGGGGGACGACUCUGCCUUCGGGUAGAGAGCUAGUACAGGUGAUGCAUGGCUGUCGUCAGCUCGUGUCGUGGGAUGUUGGGCUCAGUCCCGAAACGAGCGCAACCCUUGUCGUUAGUUGCCAGCGGGUAAUGCCGGGGACUCUAACGAGACUGCUGGUGAAUAGCCGGAGGAAGGCGGGGAUGACGUCAAGUCAUCAUGUCCCUUAUGCCUGGGGCGACACACAUGCUACAAUGGGGGGUACAGAGGGUCGCAAUCCCGUAAGGGGGAGCCAAUCCAUAAAAACCCCUCCCAGUUCGGAUUGAGGUCUGCAACUCGACCUCAUGAAGUCGGAAUCGCUAGUAAUCGCGGGUCAGCCAUACCGCGGUGAAUAUGUACUCAGGGAUUGUACACACCGCCCGUCACACCAACCGAGUGGGGGGUACCUGAAGUCGCUCUUCUGAGGGCGCCUAGGGUAACUUCCGCAAGAGGGGUGAAGUCG
rnacentral:rRNA from 1 species